AUGCUAUGCAACGAUAUAAACAGCCACAACUCGACAACGCAACAGCGACAACAACAUAACAACAAUCGACAUAACAACAAUUCACAUCGUUUAACAUUGGCCAAAGGCCUACAAUACAACAUAUCAAUGAGAUCAACAACUUUUCAUGGAAACGACAUAUUCACCACAUAUCUGCUAGGAUUCACACCAUAA